AAAUAGCGGCGGCAAAAGUUGUACGGUAGCGUUCUGAAGAACACGAAAAUAAAGAAACAAAAACAACACUAAAAUCAUCAAGUCAAGUGUAUUCGUGUUUCAUUUUACGUGCCUUUGUAAAAUUCAUCACAGCUCUAAUCGCCUCCCCGACGCCUAUAACCCUUGGGCAUCCAAAGGAGCAACGAAAUAAAGUGAUAAAAGCAUCCAAGGAUCUGUCCCGCUUUGCCGUCACGCAAAGAGUGCCUUAAAUAAGAACGAAAGAGAUUACAAAACGGCGUUAUUACUAAACGAAAAUAAUCGUCAACGUUUUGGUUAAUUUGCCCCAUUUAUGGGAAAUUGGCAGUGCAAAGGUUCUGGCUAGGAAUACUUACGCCACCCUCCGCCGGAGUGCUAACGUGGCCUUUGGCAUUAGCUGAUUGGUGGUGGCCCGGACCAAAUCGAUGACUAUAUCUGUUCGUUCGAGGGACUUGGUGACUUAACAAUGGACUCCCUAGCCAUCUUCAUCUUUCUGUGGGCCGUGCUGGCCCUCUUCUCCGUCUGGCUAUGCAAGCUGCUCUACCGCAAGUAUCUCAACAAGGAGAAGACGCCCAGUGCCGCCAACAGUCGCCAGAGCAGCGUGGCCCCCGGGGCGGCCGCCCUGGCCCUCGGCGGCUCCUCCAAACCGGAGAAGCGACUCUCCGAGCCCAGGGACAUGCUGGCCACCAAGAGCAAAGUCGAGGAUCUCUCCAAGCCUCUGACUGGCGCCUCGGCUGGCCGUGGUCGCUCUUCGGCCUCGCCCCUAAGCGGUGGUGCCGCUGGCGCCGCCGGACCGCGUCGCCGCGUGGUGCGCCAGAGCUCCACGGGGCCGGAGAAUCGCAAGAAGCGCUAUGUUCCACCGCCCUCCAAUGUGGUGGGACCCGAAACGAGCUCUGUCACGUGGACCAGCCAAGUGUUCCGCUGGCUGUACAGCGAUCUAGUCAUUGUCAACGAGCUGCUCAUGUCCUGGGUGAUAGCCAUCAACGACUCGCUCCGCAAGUCUGUGGAGGAGCAUGGAGUGGCCGUGGAAGUGGUCCGAGUGCUGCCCGAUAGCCCUGCUCCGGGCCUGAACAACAUAUUCUGCAACUGCGAUGAGACUAAUCCUGCGGACAUGCUCAUCACGUUCGACUGCGACGCCAUGCCGGUGCUGCAGGUGAAGACCUUCCGCCAGAAGUCGGGCAAGGUGGAGACCUCCCACUACAAGGUGACCGUGUCGCGAUUCCGCGCCCGCAUGGCCAUCCCCAUGAACUACAACAGUCUCAAGGGCGAGAUGCGUGUCGAGGGCUAUCCUGAUGUGCGCAUUGCGAUGAACAGCGUGGGGGCCAUCAAGGCCAUGGACCAGGACGAACAGCAGCUCCAGACGGUCAUCAGCGACAUCCUGACGACGGCCCUGCGCGAGACCGUCUACCCCGUGGACUUCUCCAUCUACUCCACCUGCCCGCGGGCCGAGGUGGAGCCCCUGGAUCUGCCCGUAAUCUAUCCCGUUCACUAUGACUCCCUGGCGCACAACAUGGAGCACCAUCUGGGAGGCGUGGGUCUGCGGGACUCGCAGCACAUGGUGUCCGGCAGGCGGCUGCUGGUGAAGAUCGUCAAGGGCGAGGGCCUGAGGGACGCCCACGACCCCUAUGUGGUCAUCGAGAUGGACGAGCCGGCCCAGAAGAACCAGACGGGCACCCAGCGCGGCAGCAGACCCUACUGGGAUGAGCACUUCCUCUUUGAACUCUCCCCGCAGUCUGCAGAGAUACUCUUCGAGGUGUACGACCAUCCAGUGAUCGCCUCGGAUCCGCCCAAGUUCCUCGGACUCGGCCUGGUCGGCAUCGACGAGCUGGCCGUGGGUCCAGCCUCCACCCAGCUGCUGCAGCUCCAGCCACGCCCCUACGAAACCCAGCCCGUGGCCGGGGCCAUCACCGUGGACUUUGUGUUCAUCGAGGGAGUCGGGAUCCCGGCGGGCGCCCGUCCACAACGCCUCAAGGAGGCCCUGCGCCUCAGCACGCCGGCCAUCAAUGAACACAUCCGCAACGGAGCGGACCUGGCCGACGCCGCGGUCCGCGCUCUGCAGGACGGCGCCCUCUCCGCCACCGGAAACGGGGGCCAGCCCAGCAAGAGCACCCUCAUCAUCCACAGCGUCCAGCGGAACUCGGGCAAUCCGAAUGCAUUUAAGGUCGAAUUGAACAAGGAUGGCCGCAUCUUUGAAUCGCCCACAGAGCUGGACCAGGCCGUGGCCCAGGCCUUCGAGCGGGCCGCCAGCGAGGCAGCGGCCGCCAAGGCCGAGCAGCUCCAGCUGGAGCUCGAGCUGGACCCCGGCACGGAGGUCCAGCCGCUGGCCAGCGGCGGCGGUAGCGGCGAGCCGCACAACGAAACAGGUAACGGUAGUGGUACCGCCAACGAGGACAGUACCGCGGAGUUCGGGCAGCCCAAUGCAGCCUCCUCGCCCAUCGGCAGCGGCUAUCACAACAACAACAACCUCAAUGGGAGCAGUGGGCUAGCCGGAAAUGGCAGUGGCAAUGGCAACGGAAACGGCAGCUCCAACAUCAAUGGCGGGGGCUACAGCAUGAACAGCCUGCCGCGGAACGGGGCCCAUCUGGGGCAUCUGCAGGCGGAUGAGGGCAUGGACGUGCUGGACGACCGCGGGCGCAGCAAAAAACGUAAUUUCUUUGGCACCCUGAAGAAGCGGCUCAGCCGCUCCAAGACACGCACCCUCUCGGCAGAUCAGCCCAAUAGCAAUCACAAAUCACUAUCAGCCACCAACUCGAACUACGCCAAUACUACAACAACAUCGACAGGACUACCCCGAACCGCCACCGGAACCCUCAAUGGUGAUUCUUCCCGUUCAUUAUCUGUCGAUCGUGCCACUCUGUCCAAAAGCAAUUCACUUGGACCCCGCAUGGGCAUUGGCUCCGCCAUCACCGACCAUUCACGACGCUCUUCAAUUUCAGAAUCCUCGGCCAUCUCAGGUUUCUCCUCGGCCAGCAAUAAGACCUACGUACACGAGGCCUCCACCUUGGUCCUGGAGACCAGCGAGAACGGCGUGAAGAGCCACUUUAUUGUGCCUUUGGCCAUUGCCCAGAGACCGCGCUGGCGCCGCAAGGGCACCAAGCUGCACAUCUACAACGCUCACACCUUCAUAGCCAAGCAUUUGAGCGGAAGCGGCUUGCAGUGCUCGAUCUGCAUGAAGUCCAUACCUCGGAGGCCGGGCAAGCAGGGAUACGAGUGCCGCGACUGCCAGCUGAUCUGUCACAAGCAGUGUCACAUACGGGCGCCCCAGGCCUGUCCCAAUCCCACGGUGCUCUCCAUGGAACUAAACUCCUAUCCGGUACUCACAGAGAGAGAUCUGAACCUAGUUAUCUAAAGCAUUAUCUAUUUGUCUACCAAAACUAUCUAAAUACUCGUAAUUCUUCUUUUGUAAAAUCCGCCAAAUGCAGUUGAAUAUUUACCACGAGCAAUGGCAAUUUUUGAUUUACUUUAACCGUGGAAUUGGCCUCGGCAGAGCGUUAAAAGCUCUGUUUAAAUUUUGCUUGAUUUAUGUACUAUUUUGGUUCGGCUUCUGCUGACUGCUAACCAUCCAGAACGAUCAUCAGAUCAUCCCAUAUCCGAUACUUAUUCAUCCAUCAAGCUUCGCCACGCUAUAAAUUCAAUUCAGUUCCUUCUGUUGUCUUCUGUUUCGACACUAAUCCGAGCUCUUCUCUCAUCGCACCACUCGACCGCCACACAACCACCUACUCGCACCACCACCACACGGACACAGGAUGGCCAGUGAGCAGUAGGCUUAAGUGCAGCAAAAUCAACUUAAAACUUAACCAUAUUCAAACUAGUUUGAGGGCGGCAGCGGCCGACAUUUAAGAAAACAAAAAAAUUCUCCUUCUUCUGAAAACUCCUCCAUCCGUCCUUCGAAACAGCCUCAGUUCUAGAUUCGUUCGGCUUUGGGAGAGAGUUCGAGAGUUAUCCACUCCUUAGGCGGAACCAACAUUAGCUCGGCUGCGGCGGAUCGGAGUAUACGGAAACUGUAAAGGAGCCCCCAAUCCAUCGUCCAUCCCAGCUCCGACGCCGGGUACACUUAAUCGAAUUACUAUGCUUAGAAGGAGGAACACCGGGACACUUCGGCUAUUGAAAUCUUUGAUACAUUAUGUUAUUUAUUUAUACACACACACACACACCCACGUGCAAUAAGUUCUUUGGUUUCGUUUUUAACCUUUCUCUGUGUCAACAAGUAGACCCCUUUGAGAUUUUUUUUUUUGUAUUUUCUACAAACACGAAUAAUAAUUGUACAAAAUAAGAGCGAA